rnacentral:rRNA from 1 species
AUUGAACGCUGGCGGCAGGCCUAACACAUGCAAGUCGAACGAGUGGCGGACGGGUGAGUAAUGUCUGGGAAACUGCCUGAUGGAGGGGGAUAACUACUGGAAACGGUAGCUAAUACCGCAUACCAUCGGAUGUGCCCUGAUGGGUUUAGCUAGUAGGUGGGGGAAAGGCUGACCUAGGCGACGAUCCCUAGCUGGUCUGAGAGGAUGACCUGCCCCACUUGAACUGAGACACGGUCCAUACUCCUACGUGAGGCAGCAGUGGGGAAUAUUGCACAAUGGGUGCAAGCCUGAUGCAGCAAUGCCGCGUGUAUGAAGAAGGCCUUCGGGUUGUAAAGUUCUUUCAGCGGGGAGGCGGUACCCGAAGAAGAAGCACCGGCUAACUCCGUGCCAGCAGCCGCGGUAAUUG